rnacentral:rRNA from 1 species
UGGGGAAUUUUGGACAAUUGGGCGAAAGCCUGAUCCAGCAAUGCCGCGUGUGUGAAGAAGGCCUUCGGGUUGUAAAGCACUUUUGUCCGGAAAGAAAUCCUUGGCUCUAAUACAGUCGGGGGAUACGGUACCGGAAGAAUAAGCACCGGCUAACUACGUGCCAGCAGCCGCGGUAAUACGUAGGGUGCAAGCGUUAAUCGGAAUUACUGGGCGUAAGCGUGCGCAGGCGGUUUGCUAAGACCGAUNUGAAUCCCGGGCUCACUGGGAACUGAUUGGUGANUGGCAGGCUAGAGUAUGGCAGAGGGGGGUUAGAAUUCCACGUGUAGCAGUGAAAUGCGUAGAGAUGUGGAGGAAUACCGAUGGCGAAGGCAGCCCCCUGGGCCAAUACUGACGCUCAUGCACG